rnacentral:rRNA from 1 species
ACGUACACUCCUACGGGAGGCAGCAGUGGGGAAUAUUGGACAAUGGGCGCAAGCCUGAUCCAGCCAUGCCGCGUGAGUGAUGAAGGCCCUAGGGUUGUAAAGCUCUUUCACCGGUGAAGAUAAUGACGGUAACCGGAGAAGAAGCCCCGGCUAACUUCGUGCCGGCAGCCGCGGUAAUACGAAGGGGGCUAGCGUUGUUCGGAUUUACUGGGCGUAAAGCGCACGUAGGCGGACUAUUAAGUCAGGGGUGAAAUCCCGGGGCUCAACCCCGGAACUGCCUUUGAUACUGGUAGUCUUGAGUUCGAGAGAGGUGAGUGGAAUUCCGAGUGUAGAGGUGAAAUUCGUAGAUAUUCGGAGGAACACCAGUGGCGAAGGCGGCUCACUGGCUCGAUACUGACGCUGAGGUGCGAAAGCGUGGGGAGCAAACAGGAUUAGAUACCCCUGUAGUCCCAUG